rnacentral:rRNA from 1 species
UUUAAUUUAAAGUCUAAUCUGCCCACUGAUUUUUAAUUAAAGGGCUGCAGUAAUUUGACUGUACAAAGGUAGCAUAAUCAUUAGUCUUUUAAUUGAAGACUUGUAUGAAAGAUUUGAUGAGAUAUAAACUGUCUCUUUAUUACAAUUAAAAUUUAAUUUUUUAGUUAAAAAGCUAAAAUAUUUUUAAAAGACGAGAAGACCCUAUAGAGUUUUAUAGUUUUUAUUAUAAAAUAUUUAUAUAAAAUUUUAAUGUUAUAUUAUAAAAAUUAUUUUGUUGGGGAGAUAAAAAAAUUAAAUAAACUUUUUUAAAUAUUUUCAUGAAUAAUUGAGUAAUUGAUCCAUAUUUAUUGAUUAAAAGAAAAAAUUACCUUAGGGAUAACAGCGUAAUAUUUUUUUUUAGUACAAAUAAGAAAAAAAGUUUGCGACCUCGAUGUUGGAUUAAGAUAAAAUUAAA